AUUUCUUCGGAUUGAAGUUGCUUAUGACUGAGUGGCGGACGGGUGAGUAACGCGUGGGUAACCUGCCUUAUACAGGGGGAUAACAGUUGGAAACGGCUGAUAAUACCGCAUAAGCGCACAGUACCGCAUGGUACAGUGUGAAAAACUCCGGUGGUGUGAGAUGGACCCGCGUCUGAUUAGCUUGUUGGCAGGGUAACGGCCCACCAAAGCGACGAUCAGUAGCCGACCUGAGAGGGUGACCGGCCACAUUGGGACUGAGACACGGCCCAAACUCC
rnacentral:rRNA from 1 species